GACAGAGGGUGCAAACGUUGUUCGGAAUUACUGGGCGUAAAGCGUGUGUAGGCGGCUAUGUAAGUCGGAUGUGAAAGCCCCAGGCUCAACCUGGGAAGUGCACUCGAUACUGCGUAGCUUGAGUAUCGGAGAGGUUGGUGGAAUUCCUGGUGUAGCGGUGAAAUGCGUAGAUAUCAGGAGGAACACCGGUGGUGUAGACGGCUCACUGGACCGUAACUGACGCUGAGACACGAAAGCGUGGGUAGCAAACAGG
rnacentral:rRNA from 1 species